rnacentral:rRNA from 1 species
AGCGAACGUUAGCGGCGGGCCUAACACAUGCAAGUCGAACGGGCUGUAGCAAUACAGUCAGUGGCGCACGGGUGCGUAACGCGUAGAUAAUCUACCUCUCAGUGGGGGAUAACUAGGGGAAACUCUAGCUAAUACCGCAUAAGACCACGGAGUCUUCGGGCUUUGAGGGAAAAGGCGGCCUCUGAAUAUGCUGUCGCUGGGAGAUGAGUCUGCGUCCCAUCAGCUAGUUGGUGAGGUAAUGGCUCACCAAGGCAAAGACGGGUAGCUGGUCUGAGAGGAUGAUCAGCCACACUGGCACUGGAACACGGGCCAGACUCCUACGGGAGGCAGCAGUGGGGAAUAUUGCACAAUGGACGAAAGUCUGAUGCAGCAACGCCGCGUGGAGGAUGACACAUUUCGGUGCGUAAACUCCUUUUAUAUGAGAAGAUAAUGACGGUAUUAUAUGAAUAAGCACCGGCUAACUCCGUGCCAG